GUGCCAGCAGCCGCGGUAAUACGGAAGGUCCGGGCGUUAUCCGGAUUUAUUGGGUUUAAAGGGAGCGUAGCCGAAGUUAAGCGUGUUGUGAAAUGUAGUCGCUCAACGGGUGCACUGCAGCGCGAACUGGCUUUCUUGAGUGCGCGGAAAGUUGGCGGAAUUCGUUGUGUAGCGGUGAAAUGCUUAGAUAUGACGAAGAACUCCGAUUGCGAAGGCAGCUGACUGUAGCGUAACUGACGCUGAUGCUCGAAAGCGUGGGUAUCGAACAGGAUUAGAUACCCUGGUAGUCCACGCGGUAAACGAUGGAUGCUCGCUGUUUGCCUUAUUUGGUAAGUGGCCAAGCGAAAGCAUUAAGCAUCCCACCUGGGGAGUACGCCGGCAACGGUGAAACUCAAAGGAAUUGACGGGGGCCCGCACAAGCGGAGGAACAUGUGGUUUAAUUCGAUGAUACGCGAGGAACCUUACCCGGGCUUGAACUGCCAGCGGACGAUUCAGAGAUGAUGAGGCCCUUCGGGGCGCUGGUGGAGGUGCUGCAUGGUUGUCGUCAGCUCGUGCCGUGAGGUGUCGGCUUAAGUGCCAUAACGAGCGCAACCCUUUUCCCCGGUUGCCAUCAGGUAGUGCUGGGCACUCCGUGGAUACUGCCACCGCAAGGUGUGAGGAAGGUGGGGAUGACGUCAAAUCAGCACGGCCCUUACGUCCGGGGCUACACACGUGUUACAAUGGCGCGUACAGAGAGCCGGUCCCUGGCAACAGGGGUCAAAUCCUUAAAACGCGUCGUAGUUCGGAUUGGGGUCUGCAACCCGACCCCAUGAAGCUGGAUUCGCUAGUAAUCGCGCAUCAGCCAUGGCGCGGUGAAUACGUUCCCGGGCCUUGUACACACCGCCCGU
rnacentral:rRNA from 1 species